rnacentral:rRNA from 1 species
GCUCUUCCGAUCUGGGAGCCCUACUAAUAGGGUGACCGUGUGCCUGUUGAAGAAUGAGCCGGCGACUUAUAGGCACUGGCGGGUUAAACCGGAAAUGGUGGAGCCAUAGCGAAAGCGAGUCUGAAUAGGGCGUUUGUCAGUGUUUAUAGACCCGAACCCGGGUGAUCUAACCAUGGCCAGGAUGAAGCUUGGGUGAUACCAAGUGGAGGUCCGAACCGACUGACGUUGAAAAGUCAGCGGAUGAGCUGUGGUUAGGGGUGAAAUGCCAAUCGAACCCGGAGCUAGCUGGUUCUCCCCGAAAUACGUUGAGGCGUAGCGUCUCGUGCUCCAGCAGGGGGGUAAAGCCACCAUUUCGGUGCGGGCUGCGAGAGCGGUACCAAAUCGAGAUGAACUCUGAAUACCCUGUGUGUAGCGAGGCAGUCAGACUGUGGGGGAUAAGCUCCAUGGUCGAGAGGGAAACAGCCCAGACCGCCAGCUAAGGUCCCCAAAUCAACACUAAGUGAUAAAGGAGGUGGGAUUGCCCAGACAACCAGGAGGUUUGCCUAGAAGCAGCCAUCCUCAAAGGAGUGCGUAAUAGCUCACUGGUCGAGCGAUCCUGCGCCGAAAAUGAAUGGGGCUAAGUGUUGUACCGAAGCUGCGGAUUUAUGGUAGGGGAGCGUUCUAUGUGGGGCGAAGCGUUAGCGUGAGCGGGCGUGGACUGCAUAGAAGUGAGAAUGUCGGCUUGAGUAGCGAAAACAUGGGUGAGAAUCCCAUGCACCGAAACCCUAAGGGUUCCUCCGGCAGGCUCGUCCGCGGAGGGUUAGUCUGGACCUAAGGCGAGGCCGAAAGGCGUAGUCGAUGGAUAACAGGUCAACAUUCCUGUACCGGUUAUGUUUUGGGAAGAGGGACGGAGAAGGCUAGCCAAGCCAGAUGUUGGUUACUGGUUCAAGCGUUCGAGGCGUUGAGGAUCGGCGAAAACGAUCCGAGCUGAGGCGUGAGUACGAGCUGCUACGGCAGCGAAGUUGGUGAUGUCAUGCUUCCAAGAAAAGCUCUAUACCCGUUAAGGCAUAACUGCCAGUACCCGAAACCGACACAGGUGGGGUGGUAGAGAAUACCGAGGUGCGCGAGGUAACUCUCUCUAAGGAACUCGGCAAAAUGGCCCCGUAACUUCGGGAGAAGGGGUGCCACAGCAAUGUGGUCGCAGUGAAGAGGCCCUGGCGACUGUUUACCAAAAACACAGGUCUCCGCUAAGUCGCAAGACGAUGUAUGGGGGCUGACGCCUGCCCAGUGCCGGAAGGUUAAGGAAGCCGGUCAGCGUAAGCGAAGCUGGCGACUGAAGCCCCGGUGAACGGCGGCCGUAACUAUAACGGUCCUAAGGUAGCGAAAUUCCUUGUCGGGUAAG